rnacentral:tRNA from 1 species
UAUAAGAUAGUAUAGGAAGUACUUGGAGUUUUGAUCUCUACAGGAAAAGUUCAAAUCUUUUUCUUAUAG